rnacentral:lncRNA from 1 species
UAGAACUAAUGUCACAAUUUCACGAACUGUCUACGAAUCUAUGAAUAGUGGUCUGAAUAAGGAAAAUACACAUCUAUAUCAUAAAUAGAUAAAAACAGAAUGUAAAUAUGAUAGAAGGAGACAUCAAGGCCUACGGACGCCUGCAGGACUACCUUGGGUCUCCACUAGACUGUAGGCAUCAACCUCGAACUACGAUUCGUAAGGUCCAGUACCGGGAUCUGCACAAAAAAGUGCAGAGUGUAAUAUCAGUACAACCAACCCCAUGUACUGGUAAGUGUCGAGCCUAACCUUGGUGAAGUAGUGACGAGGCUAGGACACGACCGAACAUCAUAACCUGUGCAGUUAAACAAUAUCAAACGAAAUAACAAUUAUAGAAUCUAAAUAGAAAUUAAUAGGAAAGGGCAACAUGCUAUGGGGAAUACCAGAAUAAGGAAACACAGAAGUAACAGAAACGAAACAGUUAAGGCACAUGAACCAAUAACAACAAUUAAUCACUGCAAACAUAAAAUGAAUGCAUGGCAUCACCCUUCGUGCUUUUACUCUCAAUCCUCGCCACACAAUCAAUAAUGAAAAUGUGCAUGGCAUCACCCUUCGUGCUUUAUCUCUCUUCCUCACCAUGUGCAUCAAUAUAAAUGUAAAUGUGCACGGCAUCACCCUUCGUGCUUUAUCGCUCUUCCUUACCAUAUGCACAAGUAUGAAUGUGCACGGCAUCACCCUUCGUGCUUUAUCACUCUUUCCUCACACAAACAGUAGAAACAACAACAUCCCGGCAAGGGAAUCAACAAUAGAAAUAUAUACAUCCCGGCAAGGGAUUUAGCUAUAACCAAUCUCGUUCCAAUAGUUAAAUUCACAAACUAAAUCUCAACUUGAGCCAAUACACAACAGUGGACAAAUACCAAGAAAACAUCAUAAGUCUUGUUCAACAUGGAUAUCAUCAAUUUAGGCAUAGAUAGUACAUAACAAGAAUCAGAACGAUCACAGUAUAAGACUCAAGGGCAUGCUCGACACCAACGUAUAGAUACUCAUCACCACACCUAUACGUCGUACACAACACUAACACGUAGAAAAUAGGACACAACACCUAUUCUCUCAAGCUAAGGUUAGACCAAACACUUACCUCGGAUUCCACGGCCAAACUCAAGCCUCAAAUACCGCUUUCCCUUUAGAUUUCGCCUCCAAUUGACUUGUAUCUAGCCAUAUUUAACUUAAAAAUAUCAAUAAGUGCUAAAGAAUUCAACUCCAGCACUUAAUUAUAUGUUUUCUAUCAUUUCCCCCAAAAUUCAAAAAUCGACCCCCAGCCCGCUUGGUCAAAACUUGAGGUUCGGACCAAAACCCGAUUACCCAUUCAUCCACGAGCCGAAAUAUGCAAUUAGUUUUGAAAUCCAACCCCAAAUCGAGGUCUAAAUUCCAAUUAUACAAAAAGACCUAAUUCUAUCAAAAUCCCCAAUUUCUACCUUGAAAACCCUAGAUUUUUGGAUAAAAAUUGAUGAAAUGCAAUGGGUAAUUGAAAGAAGGUGGUUUAGAAUCAUAUACCAACACUUUGGGGAAGAACUUGUCUCUUGAAAAUUGCCUCUAUGCCUUCUAGUUUUUGAAAAUAUGAAAUUAUGGCCUCUUUCCCGUUCUGCUUCUGUUUUAAGUGCUGGGUGACAGUGUUCAUCGCGUUCGCGUGAGCAUUGUCGCAUUCGCGAAGAACAACCUUCUAAGGACUUACGCGAUCGCGGGAAAGGCUACGUGUUCGCGAAGGUUUUUCUCAGCCCUACCUUCGCGUUCGCGUUAAAGGAUUAGCGUUCACGUAGGUUUUCCCUAGAUUCCCUGACCAACCCUCCUAAAGCUACGCAUUUACGGUUGACCAGUCGCAUUCGCAUAGAGCAAUUCCCCCAAUACUCCGCAUUCACGACCUUGGUCUCGCGUUCAUGUAUAGUAAGAGUCCUCCCCAGCCCAGUUUCCCCUUCGCGAUCGCGAGAGUGACUACACGAUCACGAAGCACAGUGCAACAGACACCAGAUACAACAAGUUAUACCAGAUUUUCUAUGUGUAAAUCACCUCGUAGCCUAUCCGAAACUCACCCGAGUCCUCUGGGUUCCAAACAAAACGUGCACACAAACCUAAAAACAUAAUACGGACUUGCUCGUGCGAUCAAAUAGCCUAAAUAACAUCUUAAACAAAAAAUUUAGCAUCAAAAUCAAUGAAAAUCUCAAGAACUCUUAAAGUUACUAUUUUCACAACCGAGGGUCCGAAUUACGUCAUAUGAAUUCCGUUUCUUGUCAAAUUUUACAGACACAACUUUAAAACCAUAUUAAACUUGUACCAGGCUCCGGAACCAAAAUAUGGGCCAGAUACCAUCAUAUCCAUACAUUAUUGAAUUUCCAAACUUUUUAUAUUUUUCAAUUUAAAUAAUUUUCUUCAAAAAUUCUUUUCUCAGGCUAGGGACCUCAGAAUUCAAUUCCGGGAAUACGCCCAAGUCCCAUAUUUUUCUAUGGACCCUCCGAGACCAUCAAAUUAUGGGUCUGGGUCCGUUUACCCAAAAUGUUGACCAAAGUAAACUGAAAUUCAAAUUUAAAGGCAAAAUUGGCAUUUUUCCUCAGAUUUACACAUAAGGGCUUUUCGGAAACGUGCCCAGAAUGUGCACUCAAAUUGAGGGGAAAGAAAAUGAGGUCUUGAAGGCCUCGGAAACCCCGGAUUGGGUUCUAAAAUACGAGAUGAUUUUUUGGGUAAUCACAAUAUACCUAUGUUUGGUACGACAUUUAUACGCAUAUACAUGACAUUAUAAAUAUGAAAUGAUUCAUAGAGCUAUUCAGACUUACUUGUUGAGUCUUUUACUCCAUGUUUCUCUAUGUCUUUUAUUUACUGAAUUUUGUUCCUUACACACUUGGUACAUUAGUUGUAUUUACAUUCCUUUUGCCUGGGGACAUUGCGCUUCAUAUUUGCAGGUCCAGAAAGACAGGUUGAGAGUCCUCCAAGUAGGCUAUCAGCUCAGCGAAAGGUGUUGGUGCGCUCUAUUUGCUCCGGAGUUGCUUAUUUGGUCAGUAUGAUUUGGACAUGAAUAGAUUGGUAUGGUUGGGCCCUGUCCCGACCUUUAUGGUAUUUAUCUAUUCUUAGAGGCUUGUAGACAUAUGUCAUAUACAUGAAAGAUUGUAUGGCUUUGUCGGCCUAUGUUCAGUAUACUAGUGAUCAUUUUGGUCUUAUACCGUAUGUCAUGUAUAAGUUUGUAUUACAUGUUAGGUCGUCCUAUGAUGAGUAUUUCCUCGUGUUUUAUUCUAGUUAUCUCACAGCAGCCUUUACAUCUCAUUUACCUAUAAUAGUAUGAUACAAAAAGAUACGUUAUGCUGGUACUCAGUUGAGUAAGGUACCGGGUGCCCGCACGACCCAUCGGUUUGGGUCGUGACAAUGAUGAUAGGGUUUAAAGGACCUAAAAUGAAGGGUAAGUGUAAACACUUAGAUACCCCUCCACAUGAGUGGUGAUCGAUUCCUCAGGAGAAGGAACUACAACAUACUUAUUUUCCCAAUUACACUCCUCUUUAGCAUUUUUGAGGAUAUCUUUAGUGAUGGUGCAUAUAUACCUUGAGACAGGUUUACAUCGGCCUUGCACCGAGGAGGUCUUCUCGAUUUUAAAGUCUGUGAAAGUUGGACACCCUACCAGAACAAAAUCCUUAGGGUGGGGCUCCGCCGCAGCCUCAUCACCGGAAGGCUGUGAUGAAGAAGUAACCUAAUUUUGCAGCACGAUUUUGGAAGUUUUAGCCAUUAAUGAACAAGAGAAAAAAGAGUUUGGAUGAUAUGCGGUUGAUUAGAGUUCAAGAAAUUUGGGUAUGAAAAUUUUGAAACAAAGAAUUUUUUUGAAGGAAAGACAAGAGCAGGAAGAGCUUUCAAUGUAAAAGUUUGAAUGAGAAAGGGUUAGGAUUCUUAUAGGUUGAAGGUGACAGUUCAAAACAAGUAGUGGUUGACCAUCCACUGACAGGCAUUUAAUGCCUUGGUAACUGGACCGACGGGACAUUUCGUCGCUUGUGGCUUGAUGGGGCUCGUCGCUGACAUCAUCACUCAUCGAGGGGGAAUUCUGAAAUUCAUAUCAUUUUUCGUCACCUUCUUCUCGAGAAAUGAGGGGACUAUCUGUAUACGAUCAAAAUGGGGUUGCGCCUCGUAUGACUAUCACACCUCCUUUUUACCCGAGGGGGGUAUAGGGAGUUUUUCCAAUUAAAGUGACAUAAAUCGAGAUGAGAUUAUUUUAUAUAAAUCAGAGUCGCCACUUGAAAUAAUUUUAUGGUGUCCCAAGUCACCGGUUUAUUUUAAAACCCAAAUUUUGGAAAAUUUGACUUCAUUUAAAAGUAUACGAAAUCAGAAAUUCUAGAUAAGGAAUUUUGUUAACCCGGAAGAAGGUGUUAGGAAUUCCCGGAUUUCAUAGUUCGAGCACGGCCUCUUAACCUAUUAAUAAUUGCCCUAAUUAUUUGAUUUACUACAUGUUUCAAACCUAGUGCAUUUUUAGCUUUAUAACUGCUUUUAAUUAUUUUAACCACUUAUUAGGAUUUAUUGAAUUAUUUCUUGAACAAGUUACGAUUGUCGUACACUUGCUGUCUUGGGACACACCACAAACCACGCUACAUGAAAUCCACCCGUGAUUCGCGAUAUGUUUAUUUUAUUAUAGUUCAAAGUUGUUAUGAUCGGGUCACAUGAAAUGCACACCUGAAUUUGGAACUAGGUAUCAUAACUAUGUCACGGGAACCGUACCCAUAGUCACGAUGAUUUAUUUAUUAAUUGCGCCUAAAGCAAGCUACGAGGCUUAUGAAUAAAAUUUCUAAAGUUUUGAGAUUUGGGGUAAGACCAAGAGUUAUGGAAUAAAUUUUUGGAGAAGAAUGUAAAUUAAUUAUGAAAUUAUGGACUAACUUAUGAAUUCUUAUUUCUUUUUUGGUGAAACUUGUUACUGAUUCUAUUUAUCAAAACUUGUAUAAAGAUUAGGCUUAAACAUUUGUUCCCUUAUUAACUGGACUCGAUUAUCACUUAAAACACCACUAGUUCAAGUUAUUUACCAUUUUGAAACAAGAAUUCACGGGACAAUCAAUGCGUAUUCAUAAUUUCAAAUUUUAAGGAUGAUGUUUAACUUUUACUUUUAAAUACAAGAUCCAAAAUGAAAAGAUAAUAAUUUGAACUAGUGCUUUGAAAGAAAAUUUGGAGCACGAUAAGAGAUAUAGGAGAUUAUUAAUCUUCACUGUAAGAGACUGCAAUGUGGUAGAAAAACCAAUGUUCUCACUCGAAGAUAAAAAUACACGAAUGACGCAGAUAGCAUAACAGAACCGUAAAUCAAAGCUUGCCAGAAGUUUAACAUUUUUUUUCAUUUUUAGCAACAAAUACAAGCAAAUACAGAUUUAGGAAUGUGUACCUAAUGCCUGAGUCAGGAAUUGAAUCGGCCAAACUCGAGCACAAAUGAAGAUGACAAGACCCAACAAGCAGCCAUAUAUUCAACAGUCAAUCAGCAAUUUUGGGGUGUUUAAACACUCCUAAAGCAGGGAAACAAUAGCUCAAAAACCAAAUAAAAGCCUAGAACUCCUAAUUCGUGAAGUUCAUCAGUGAUGAACAGCAAGAACAAUCCCGAACAAGAGGAAGGAAAUUUUGAACCCAGGCAAAUCAAUUCGGAAUCGACAACAAAUAACCACAAGUUUGAUUGUGAAUCAAUUGAAUCUGAAACAACCAAUCACUCUAUUGUUCGUCCUUCUUCUUCUUCUUCUUUUUAUAGCUUUUCGUUCCUUUUUGGUUUUCUCGAUCUUAAAUUUCGAAAUGCAUGUUUCUUCUUCCAGCAGCCUAGGUGUGUGGGUAUGAUUGAUGUGUGUGUGUUUUGAGAAAUGAAAAAAGCAAACAGAAGAAGGGAGCUGGGUUGCGCCGUUUUUUGGUCUGUGAGAGAGGAGUCUGAUUUUCCUUAUGUCUUUU